rnacentral:rRNA from 1 species
GCAGUCGAGCGGAAGGCCCCUUCGGGGGUACUCGAGCGGCGAACGGGUGAGUAACACGUGAGCAACCUGCCCCUGACUCUGGGAUAAGCCCGGGAAACUGGGUCUAAUACCGGAUGUGACCAGCCUCCGCAUGGAGUGCUGGUGGAAAGUUUUUCGGUUGGGGAUGGGCUCGCGGCCUAUCAGCUUGUUGGUGGGGUGAUGGCCUACCAAGGCGACGACGGGUAACCGGCCUGAGAGGGCGACCGGUCACACUGGGACUGAGACACGGCCCAGACUCCUACGGGAGGCAGCAGUGGGGAAUAUUGCGCAAUGGGCGGAAGCCUGACGCAGCGACGCCGCGUGAGGGAUGACGGCCUUCGGGUUGUAAACCUCUUUCAGCAGGGACGAAGCUAACGUGACGGUACCUGCAGAAGAAGCGCCGGCUAACUACGUGCCAGCAGGG